ensembl:lncRNA
CCCACGCCUCCCGCCUCAGACCCGCCCCUCCCCUCUCAGACCCGGGGGUCCAAGCCCCCAGCCCCUGCCCCCUCAGACCCGGGGGUCCAGGCCCCCAGCCUCUCCUCCUCAGACCCGGGGGUGCAGGCCCCCAGCCCCUCCCCCCCUCAAGGACCCUCCCUCACCCUUCUGUCCUGUCUUCCUGAAAGGAAGUGCCAUGUCUCCCGCAUAUGCGUUUCUGCCCCGUGGGGAUGUGUUCCGUGUCUGUGGACCUCUGAGCAGUCACUCCUCUCCUCUAAGAUCUUAGUGGACGCCCGCUGACCACGGCUUUCCAGAUUCAAUACCGUGGAACCCUCACCUGCCAUCUCGUCCACUUUCCUGGGCCCUGGGUGACAUUAUAGGAGUCACUCACCAUUUCUGGACCUAAAUCGACACACAUGCACACACAGGCACACAUGCACACAUGUCCACAGAUGCACAAAUGCACACACGUGCACACGUGUGCAUGCACCCACAAAUACCUGCACACAUGUGGGCACGUGAGCACAUAAUGCACACACAUGCACACACACAUACACACUCUUUCUCCUGCCUACAGACGUUUGCACGCCCAGCAUUCUCCUCCGAGAAUGCCUCCUUUCCAACUCCAGGCCUCCAGGAAGCAGAGCCCCCUGGGGGCUGCUCCCGCUCGUUUGGAGCCCGUAUCACAGUGACCUGUGCCCCCCACUUCACAUCUCCCCUCUCAGGCCGUCCGGAUGCACCUGGUCCUUCUCACCUGUGCCUCCUUUCGGGCUCUCCUCCUGUCCAGAGAGUCUCCUGGGCCAGCUCCCUGAGAGCAUGCAGUCCCGUCCACACCAAGGGCCACAACUGGUCUGCAGGGACCUCUGCCAGACCCCAUGCGCCCCCUGCAGCCCAGCACACAGACCCGCAGGGCAGGGGCUGCAUGGACCCAAGGCAGCAUCCCCUGCACCCAGCACAGUCACGGCUGCUGGAAGCCUGACCCGCAGGCUUCCACAUACAAGGGCUGUCUGGGACUGAACCCUGUGACAGAUAAGGGCUGCUGUGGACCUGAGACAAGUCUACCAUUUGACUGACAGUUCCUAUCUUCCUUUGGACAAAUGGACGUGUGGUUGGUCAGGACUCACCUGGCGGGGAGCUGGGGGAGGGGACGUGGGAGCUCAAAGCAGCUGUCCUGUGCAUCCAGAAAUGAUUCUGGGAUAUGGGACUUCCCUGGAGGUUCAGAGGUCUGCCUCCCAGCGCAGGAGGUGCAAGUUCAAUCCCUGGUUGGGAAGCUAAGAUUAUACACGCCUCAGGGCCAAAAAACCAACACGUAAAACAGAAGCACCAUGGUGACAAAUUCAAUAAAGACUUGAAAACAAUAAAAAUGAUUCUGAAAUCAAAAGCUUACUUAAAAAGAAGCAAGUGAGUUGGCAUCGGUCAUCUCGCUCUAAACCUGGGCGGGGCUGUGUGGCCCCCCCAGGCCCCCUACCUCAGUCCUAGGGGUCCCUGCCUGCGCCCCCACCUUGCAGUCUGAAGACUUGAGCCUGGGACGCCCCUCCGCC